rnacentral:lncRNA from 12 species
UAAAUUUAGGUUUGGGUCCAUUAAAGUUGCAUUGUAACAGUUUCCUUUCAUUUGCCGAUCACUGCCUGGCACAGGUUUUUCUGUAUCUACCCCAAGGGCACAGCUAGAGACAGACAUGUAUUACCACACCAUGGAGUGGGGCACGACCUAAGGAUGAUCUGGAUCAGAAUGACAGGAGAGAGCUGACGCAAGCCCUCCCGCAGGAGAGUUUUCACCUGGGCUCCCCAAACCAAUCCCAGCCCAGCCAGAGCAGAGGCCACCCUACUGACCCAGGAGUUCUCCAGGUGCUGGAAUAGAGCCUCUAAGUAUGCAGAACUGGAAAGGGGAUCUCAAGAUCAGCAUCAUUAGAAACCUGAUAUACUCAACCAAGACUGUCCACAGAUGGAGAAAUGAAAGCUUGUAAAAGGCACUGGAAUUGAACAAAAAAGACAGUAAUGAAAAGGUAAGAAGACAAACAGCAUUUCAGUGAUUACAUUGCUCUGCACAGAAAGCUGUCCGU